rnacentral:rRNA from 1 species
CCUACGGGUGGCUGCAGUGGGGAAUAUUGGACAAUGGGGGCAACCCUGAUCCAGCCAUGCCGCGUGUGUGAAGAAGGCCCUCGGGUUGUAAAGAACUUUCAGUGAGGAAGAACGCCUGGUGGUUAAUACCCAUCAGGAAAGACAUCACUCACAGAAGAAGCACCGGCUAACUCCGUGCCAGCAGCCGCGGUAAUACGGAGGGUGCGAGCGUUAAUCGGAAUUACUGGGCGUAAAGCGCGCGUAGGUGGCUUGAUAAGCCGGUUGUGAAAGCCCCGGGCUCAACCUGGGAACGGCAUCCGGAACUGUCAAGCUAGAGUGCAGGAGAGGAAGGUAGAAUUCCCGGUGUAGCGGUGAAAUGCGUAGAGAUCGGGAGGAAUACCAGUGGCGAAGGCGGCCUUCUGGACUGACACUGACACUGAGGUGCGAAAGCGUGGGUAGCAAACAGGAUUAGAUACCCCAGUAGUC